CGUUCCGUGUCCGGGUGUCACUGUUCCCGUAUGACUGUUCCUGUGUCCGGGUGUCACAACUGUGUCACUGUUCCUGUGUCCGGGUGUCACUGUUCCUGUGUCACUGUCCCCGUGUCCGGGUGUCACAGCCGUGUCCGGGUGUCACUGUCCCCGUGUCCCCCAGCAGGGCCACCCUGGGGCCACCAAACUCCUGUGGCGCCAUUUGGAGGGGUGACUUUGACCUGUGACGUCACCCCGAUGAUGUCAUCACUCCGUAAUGUCACCCCAAUGACAUCACUGCCCAAUGACAUCACUGCCCAAUGACAUCACCCAAAUGACAUCACUGCCCAAUGACAUCACUGCCCAAUGACAUCACAACCCCAAUGACAUCACCAUCCCAUGACGUCACCCUGAUGACAUCACCGCACAAUGACAUCACCAUCCCAUGACGUCACCCUAAUGACAUCACUUUCCAAUGACAUCACAGCCCAAUGAUAUCACCCCAAUGACAUCACCGUCACAUAAUGACAGCCAGUACAUCACAGCCUCAAGACGUCACCCCGAUGACAUCAUCCAAUGACAUCACAACCCCAAUGACAUCACCAUCCCAUGACAUCACCCUGAUGACAUCACCGCCCAAUGACAUCACCGCUCCAUGACGUCACCCUGAUGACAUCACAACCCAAUGACAUGAUCCAAUGACAUCACAACCUCAAUGAUAUCACCGUCCCAUGACGUCACCCUGAUGACAUCACCACACCAAUGACAUCAUCGCCCCAUGACAUCACCCCGAUGACAUCACCGCCCAAUGAUAUCACAGCCCAAUGACAUCACCCCAAUGACGUCACCCUAAUGACAUCACUUCCCAAUGACAUCACGCCCCCAUGACGUCACCCCAACGCCC
ensembl:lncRNA